AAUUCCAUCUGAUCACUGCAUCGGUUACAUAUUAGCGAUGAGCUUUGAUUCUCACUUGUGUUGGAUGACAUUGUCUAUGAUUAAUAAACUGUUGGGAAGACACUGCCCAAAAAAAAUAGACAACCUGAUAAAAAAAAAAAACCAAAACUACCAAGUAAAACUAUCUAAUCCACGAAGUACUGUAAACAACUGCUAAUCAUACUUCAGUAACUCUACUGAUAUUGGAAAACACUGCAAGAAAGAAUGAAUUCUAAUAACAGAAUCAAUGGCAGGCUAAAUCAAUGGCAGGCUUAAUUAAGUGUCACAAGAUAAGUAUCAAUAAAGACCAUUUUUCUAGUAGUGUAAGUUAUUGCAACUUAUACAUUUUUUUAAAGAUUAGUGGAUGCAUGAACUAUUUCUUAAGAUAUCAUAUCGAACAUGGAAGAGUAUCGUAUAAAACACACAAAUAGAAGCUUUAGUUAGCCGUUGCUUGCCAAAUCUAGAAGCAAGCGAUAGAUUAGGCUCGUUAACCUUCAACAUUGUUAAGCUGAUUCAUCCCUUAAAAUUUUGAACAUAUCAAUUUAUCUCUACUUACCGUCUAAAGAUGAGGAUAAUGGGGAGCGCGCGUUGACUUCUUUUUUUUUCUUUUUUACGGUAAAUAAAAAUAAAUUGAUAUUAUCUAACUUUGAGAGGUAAAUUAAAAGAUUAUCAUUUUAGAUGGUGAUAAAUCAAAAUUUACCCUAGAAAAAAAAAAAUAUAUAUAGUAGUUUUCUGGUCAAGGAUUUUAAAGUGCGGGAAAGUCCGGGAAAACUUUAAAACCACACAGCUUUAAAAGCUUACAAUUUAAGCCUUUAAAACCAUGCGUUUUAAAGGUUUCCCGCACUUUCUCGCACUUUAAAAUUCCGGACUGGAAUAUUUCUCUCUCUCUCUCUCUCUCUCUCUCUCUCUCUCUCUCUCUCUCUCUCUCUCUCUCUCUCUCUCUCUCUCUCUCUCUCUCUCUCUCUCUCUCUCUCUCUCUCUCUCUCUCUCUCUCUCUCUCUCUCUCUCUCUCUCUCUCUCUCUCUCUCUCUCUCUCUCUCUCUCUCUCUCUCUCUCUCUCUCUCUCUCUCUCUCUCUCUCUCUCUAUGUCUAUAUAUAUAUAUAUAUAACCACACAGCUUUAAAGGCUUACAGUUUAAGCCUUUAAAACCAUGCGUUUUAAAAGUUUUCCGCACUUUCUCGCACUUUAAAAUUCCAGAUUGAAAUAUUUCUCUCUCUCUAUAUAUAUAUAUAUAUAUAUACACACACACACACAUGAAACUUGAAAAAGGCAAAAGAUAGGUACGUGUUGACUGAAAUACCUUGUCUAUAUAUAUAUAUACAUGAAACUUGAAGAAGGCAAAAUAUGGGUACGUGUUGACUGAAAUACCUUGUCUAUUUCAAUAAUUGGCAAUUAAUUUUGGCCAAGCAUAAAAAUAUUCCUCAUUAAUUCAAACCGGAUCGGGUUUCUAAUUUCAACCCGUUUGAAUUUCAACAAAAUGAAGCUUUAAUCACAAAUCAAUUUAUAAUUAGUAUGUAAUUUACUUGUAAAGGGCUGAAGUUCCCACCAACUGAAGAGCUGCGGUCGACGAUUCCGGGAGCUGCAAGAACUGGGAGGUGUUACGGUGGCCGGUGGGGGCUGCGACGCCGAUGAAGAUUGCUGUCGUGCUGAGGCUGAUUCACUGACAGGCAGAUGGGAGAGAUGACCGAUUGUAUUGUGGGGACUUGGUACGCCUGAUGGGCUAAGGCUGAUUCAUUGGCGGCACAUGUGGCGGCAGUCGGCAGUUGAAAGAGUUUAAGUCUUUGAGGGUUUCUUAAUUUUGAAUUUGGGAUCAGGUUCGGGCAGAUUUAGGUUUUUAGAAAUUUUAGUAAUAAUUUUUUUGAAUUUUUUAUUUUAACCGGUUCGGAUUUGCUAUUCGAUUGGGGUUGCUAAUUUCAGCCUGUUCAAUUUUCAAGAUCGAUUCGAAGUGAACUGAAAGCGUAACAUAAAUUCGUCUUCACUAAUUAGGAGUGCGCAGGGUUCAGCUCGGUUCGGUCCAGUCUGAUUUAGAUCAAAAUUAUACAGAACCGAUUAAAAUCUAUUAUUUUAUAAAAAAAACAAAAUAGAAAUCUAUUAUUAAAACAACAAUUAAUUUCUGUUUGAGCUCAUCAAUAUGGCCCGGUUUGAAACUUGUUAUUCCUAAACUUUUUCAAAGCUGUAAAUGGAUUAUUGGGAGUGGUGAUUCAGUGAAUCUUUGGCUUGAU
rnacentral:lncRNA from 1 species